rnacentral:lncRNA from 1 species
CUGUCGGCCGGAGCCCCUGCUGGCACCGUGGCUAAUGCCUUUCACCAGUUUGGACAACACCUGCUUGCCGCCCUUUGCUGAGCUGUUCAUGGAGCCUUCGACAUAAACACUGUGCCUUUCAGCUGUGAGCUCUGCCGGCCUGUCCUGUGGGCGUGCGUCUUUCCCUCUAAAACCUUGGAGAGGGGUCGCUGCCGUCUGCAGCGGCAGAGGCUCUGCGGAGGCGCCCGCUCCUCUGUACCUGCUCCUCCAUACCCGCCUGGCUCCAGCCACCACGGGCAGAUGCUCCCUCGGGACCCACCCCGUCCUGGGAUGCCACCACCUGCCGUCCCCUCAAGAUGAAAAGGAAACAGAAAUAAACAGAAC